GAAAUGAAGGAGGAGGCCCAGGUCUCCACCCCAAAACCAAACAGAUCUCCCUUCCGCAGCCACAUGGUGUUCUGGGACCGCUGUGGGGUCAGAGAUAGUGACCCAACUGCUUCGAAUCUUUUAUCUGUGUCAAACCUGCAUGAACGCUCCCGGCAUUCUCACCACGGCUGCAACCCGGAGGCACCCGAGAUGCUCCUGGAUGAGCGGCACGAGGUCCUUAACACAGAGGCCAGGUCAGGACACAGGCAAGGCGCUGUGGAUGCGCUCAGGGCCCGAAUGCACCUGCUGCAGUUGUUCAAGGCAGGUGGCCAGAUGGUGGCCGGUGGUGUUCACAGGAGGCGGGAACACGCCAGGGCAGGGGGAAGAAGGCAUGAGGGGAGCAGGGGCCAGGGGAGCACCUGGCUCCCAGGGGGACAUCGAGCGUGGGGGGCUGCUCUGGCGCUGGAGGGGGAGCUGUCCACUUGGGAGAGCCCAGGAGCUGCAUUCUGGGGUUGUCUCCUGGAGGCAAACGGAAAACCCCAGAACGCAGAUAACCGCCCAGCAGGCUGUGUCUGAGGUCGUUGCUGUCACCGGGUGCAGACCUGACCCCAGAGACCAGUCCCCACUGACGUGCCCUGAGGACCGCAGGGCCUGUGAGGCUGGGGUCCGCACCUCUUGGGACUUGCUGGGCGAGGGCCACACUGAGCAGACCACCCUGCCGGCCGCCUCCUGGGCUGCAAGCCCUUCUCCACGUGCUGUCGGCCUAUUCCGCGUACAACACCGACGAGGAAUAGAUGUGCACUGGCAUUUACACCCCCAGGGAGUUCCUUCAGUGUUUCAUCGACCAGAGUCCCUUCUCCCUCACCCUGAAGCUCUGGGACGCCUACAUCCUGGACGGGGAACGCAUGCUUACAGCCAUGGCUUACAGAAUCCUGAAGGUGCACAGUGAGGGACGUGAAGGGCUCCCCACAAGGCCCCUGUGCCUGGAGCAAGUGUCCCCGGCGCCCAGGCCUCUCCUCCAUUUUCCUAGCAUUGAGAUGCUGCCCAGGGUGGAUGAACUGACCUCCCAGUCCCAGCCACCUAACCUGAGCGGCCUGGACCCUUUCCGGCCAGGCCAUCCUCAAGGCCGAGGAACUGUUGCAGGAGGGAAAUUCCUUAGAGCCCAUGUCUGUACAUCUGCCCGGGAAGUCCAGGGGCUCGGGUUUUGA
rnacentral:lncRNA from 12 species